UAGCGUGCGGACGGCUGAGUAACACGUGGGCAACCUGCCUGCAAGACGGGGAUAACUCCGGGAAACCGGGGCUAAUACCGGAUAAUAUCUUCCUUCGCAUGAAGGAAGGUUGAAAGGCGGCGCAAGCUGCCGCUUGCAGAUGGGCCCGCGGCGCAUUAGCUAGUUGGUGAGGUAACGGCUCACCAAGGCGACGAUGCGUAGCCGACCUGAGAGGGUGAUCGGCCACACUGGGACUGAGACACGGCCCAGACUCCUACGGGAGGCAGCAGUAGGGAAUCUUCCGCAAUGGACGAAAGUCUGACGGAGCAACGCCGCGUGAGCGAAGAAGGUCUUCGGAUCGUAAAGCUCUGUUGUCAGGGAAGAACAAGUACCGUUCGAACAGGGCGGUACCUUGACGGUACCUGACCAGAAAGCCACGGCUAACUACGUGCCAGCAGCCGCGGUAAUACGUAGGUGGCAAGCGUUGUCCGGAAUUAUUGGGCGUAAAGCGCGCGCAGGCGGUCUCUUAAGUCUGAUGUGAAAGCCCACGGCUCAACCGUGGAGGGUCAUUGGAAACUGGGAGACUUGAGUGCAGAAGAGGAGAGCGGAAUUCCACGUGUAGCGGUGAAAUGCGUAGAGAUGUGGAGGAACACCAGUGGCGAAGGCGGCUCUCUGGUCUGUAACUGACGCUGAGGCGCGAAAGCGUGGGGAGCGAACAGGAUUAGAUACCCUGGUAGUCCA
rnacentral:rRNA from 1 species